rnacentral:rRNA from 2 species
AUACAUGCAGGUCGAGCGAACUGAUUAGAAGCUUGAUUCUAUGACGUUAGCGGCGGACGGGUGAUUUACACGUGGGCAACCUGCCUGUAAGACUGGGAUAACUUCGGKAAACCGAAGCUAAUACCGGAUAGGAUCUUCUCCUUCAUGGGAGAUGAUUGAAAGAUGGUUUCGGCUAUCACUUACAGAUGGGCCCGCGGUGCAUUAGCUAGUUGGUGAGGUAACGGCUCACCAAGGCAACGAUGCAUAGCCGACCUGAGAGGGUGAUCGGCCACACUGGGACUGAGACACGGCCCAGACUCCUACGGGAGGCAGCAGYAGGGAAUCUUCCGCAAUGGACGAAAGUCUGACGGAGCAACGCCGCGUGAGUGAUGAAGGCUUUCGGGUCGUAAAACUCUGUUGUUAGGGAAGAACAAGUACGARAGUAACUGCUCGUACCUUGACGGUACCUAACCAGAAAGCCWCGGCUAACUACGUGCCAGCAGCCGCGGUAAUACGUAGGUGGSMARGCGUUAUCCGGAAUUAUUGGGCGUAAAGCGCGCGCAGGCGGWUUCUUAAGUCUGAUGUGAAAGCCCACSGCUCAMCCGUGGAGGGUCAUUGSAAACUGG